AUGAACGCUAGCUACAGGCUUAACACAUGCAAGUCGAGGGGCAGCAUGGUCUUAGCUUGCUAAGGCCGAUGGCGACCGGCGCACGGGUGAGUAACACGUAUCCAACCUGCCGUCUACUCUUGGACAGCCUUCUGAAAGGAAGAUUAAUACAAGAUGGCAUCAUGAGUCCGCAUGUUCACAUGAUUAAAGGUAUUCCGGUAGACGAUGGGGAUGCGUUCCAUUAGAUAGUAGGCGGGGUAACGGCCCACCUAGUCUUCGAUGGAUAGGGGUUCUGAGAGGAAGGUCCCCCACAUUGGAACUGAGACACGGUCCAAGCUCCUACGGGAGGCAGCAGUGAGGAAUAUUGGUCAAUGGGCGAGAGCCUGAACCAGCCAAGUAGCGUGAAGGAUGACUGCCCUAUGGGUUGUAAACUUCUUUUAUAAAGGAAUAAAGUCGGGUAUGGAUACCCGUUUGCAUGUACUUUAUGAAUAAGGAUCGGCUAACUCCGUGCCAGCAGCCGCGGUAAUACGGAGGAUCCGAGCGUUAUCCGGAUUUAUUGGGUUUAAAGGGAGCGUAGAUGGAUGUUUAAGUCAGUUGUGAAAGUUUGCGGCUCAACCGUAAAAUUGCAGUUGAUACUGGAUAUCUUGAGUGCAGUUGAGGCAGGCGGAAUUCGUGGUGUAGCGGUGAAAUGCUUAGAUAUCACGAAGAACUCCGAUUGCGAAGGCAGCCUGCUAAGCUGCAACUGACAUUGAGGCUCGAAAGUGUGGGUAUCAAACAGGAUUAGAUACCCUGGUAGUCCACACGGUAAACGAUGAAUACUCGCUGUUUGCGAUAUACAGCAAGCGGCCAAGCGAAAGCGUUAAGUAUUCCACCUGGGGAGUACGCCGGCAACGGUGAAACUCAAAGGAAUUGACGGGGGCCCGCACAAGCGGAGGAACAUGUGGUUUAAUUCGAUGAUACGCGAGGAACCUUACCCGGGCUUAAAUUGCAGAUGAAUUACGGUGAAAGCCGUAAGCCGCAAGGCAUCUGUGAAGGUGCUGCAUGGUUGUCGUCAGCUCGUGCCGUGAGGUGUCGGCUUAAGUGCCAUAACGAGCGCAACCCUUGUUGUCAGUUACUAACAGGUUCCGCUGAGGACUCUGACAAGACUGCCAUCGUAAGAUGUGAGGAAGGUGGGGAUGACGUCAAAUCAGCACGGCCCUUACGUCCGGGGCUACACACGUGUUACAAUGGGGGGUACAGAGGGCCGCUACCACGCGAGUGGAUGCCAAUCCCCAAAACCUCUCUCAGUUCGGACUGGAGUCUGCAACCCGACUCCACGAAGCUGGAUUCGCUAGUAAUCGCGCAUCAGCCACGGCGCGGUGAAUACGUUCCCGGGCCUUGUACACACCGCCCGUCAAGCCAUGGGAGCCGGGGGUACCUGAAGUGCGUAACCGCGAGGAGCGCCCUAGGGUAAAACUGGUGACUGGGGCU
rnacentral:rRNA from 1 species